rnacentral:rRNA from 1 species
AACAGGAUUAGAUACCCUGGUAGCCCACGCCGUAAACGAUGUCGACUUGGAGGUUGUGCCCUUGAGGCGUGGCUUCCGGAGCUAACGCGUUAAGUCGACCGCCUGGGGAGUACGGCCGCAAGGUUAAAACUCAAAUGAAUUGACGGGGGCCCGCACAAGCGGUGGAGCAUGUGGUUUAAUUCGAUGCAACGCGAAGAACCUUACCUACUCUUGACAUCCAGAGAACUUUCCAGAGAUGGAUUGGUGCCUUCGGGAACUCUGAGACAGGUGCUGCAUGGCUGUCGUCAGCUCGUGUUGUGAAAUGUUGGGUUAAGUCCCGCAACGAGCGCAACCCUUAUCCUUUGUUGCCAGCGGUUAGGCCGGGAACUCAAAGGAGACUGCCAGUGAUAAACUGGAGGAAGGUGGGGAUGACGUCAAGUCAUCAUGGCCCUUACGAGUAGGGCUACACACGUGCUACAAUGGCGCAUACAAAGAGAAGCGACCUCGCGAGAGCAAGCGGUCCUCAUAAAGUGCGUCGUAGUCCGGAUUGGAGUCUGCAACUCGACUCCAUGAAGUCGGAAUCGCUAGUAAUCGUGGAUCAGAAUGCCACGGUGAAUACGCUCCCGGGCCUUGUACACACCGCCCGUCACACCAUGGGAGUGGGUUGCAAAAGAAGUAGGUAGCUUAACCUUCGGGAGGGCGCUUACCACUUUGUGAUUCAUGACUGGGGUGAAGUCGUAACAAGGUAACC